rnacentral:tRNA from 9 species
GCUGGCGUAGCUCAGUGGUAGAGCACUCCCUUGGUAAGGGAGAGGUCGAGAGUUCAAGCCUCUCCGUCAGCUCCA